AUUCAUUCUUAGAUAUGUAAAUGCGCUCAACCCAUUGCCAGAAUCUGACCUGCUUGUUGCCAAAACUUGUGCAUAGGCGCUGGAAUCAUACCUCUCCAGUGCAUUCUCUCCAGCAAGUUCUGUUCCUGCAGUCUUAGUCGCCAUCUUUACUUGCCGGACCAAGCCUUCUGGGGAGCAAUUUGCAUGCUCUUGCUGCUCCCUGUCCUUCAUCUCCAUGCAUGUGAAGUUCAAUACAACUCCAUAUUUGCCCAUCAUUCUGGCAAUGGGGAGGUAGCCAUCAUGAUUUCUGGUGUUGUAGUAUCCAGCAGUUAAUUCAGCCGCAUGAGACCUUGUUUUGUAAUGCCAGUGAAUUCCAGCUACUUUUCCUGAGAGUUUUGCUCCAGUUCCCUGGAAUAUUCCUUCGGCAGCUGCUAGGAUUCUGUCUCCAUGCUCAAGUAGCUUUCCAGAGUACCAUUUUAGGAAGAACUGUCCGUAUUCUGUGGUCCAUGUACCGUCUCUCCUGAAGAACCCGGUAUCUUCAGGGAACUGGUUGUAGUGGCCAGCAUCCUGAGGGCCACUUCUUCCCCAAUCUUUCUUCCCCACUGCGUCUGCUGAUGCUU
rnacentral:lncRNA from 1 species